GGGGAUAGUUGGCGAGCCGGUGCUCCCCCUGGACUUCAAAUCCAGCGGCGGCCAAGAAGCCGCGGUGGGUUCGAUUCCCACAUAUCCCCGCCA
rnacentral:tRNA from 1 species